UGGGGAAUAUUGCACAAUGGGGGGAACCCUGAUGCAGCGAUGCCGCGUGGAGGAAGAAGGUUUUCGGAUUGUAAACUCCUGUCUUAAAGGACGAAAAUGACGGUACUUUAGGAGGAAGCUCCGGCUAACUACGUGCCAGCAGCCGCGGUAAUACGUAGGGAGCGAGCGUUGUCCGGAAUUACUGGGUGUAAAGGGAGCGUAGGCGGGAUUUUAAGUCAGAUGUGAAAUACGUGGGCUCAACCUACGGGCUGCAUUUGAAACUGAAGUUCUUGAGUGAAGUAGAGGCAAGCGGAAUUCCUGGUGUAGCGGUGAAAUGCGUAGAUAUCAGGAGGAACACCGGUGGCGAAGGCGGCUUGCUGGGCUUUAACUGACGCUGAGGCUCGAAAGCGUGGGUAGCAAACAGG
rnacentral:rRNA from 2 species